rnacentral:rRNA from 1 species
GACGAACGCUGGCGGCGCGCCUAACACAUGCAAGUCGAACGGAGCUGAGAGAAGCUUGCUUUUCUUAGCUUAGUGGCGAACGGGUGAGUAACGCGUGAGUAACCUGCCCUGGAGUGGGGGACAACAGUUGGAAACGACUGCUAAUACCGCAUAAGCCCACGAUCCGGCAUCGGAUUGAGGGAAAAGGAUUUAUUCGGUUCAGGAUGGACUCGCGUCCAAUUAGCUAGUUGGUGAGGUAACGGCCCACCAAGGCGACGAGUGGUAGCCGGACGGAGAGGUUGAACGGCCACAUUGGGACUGAGACACGGCCCAGACUCCUACGGGAGGCAGCAGUGGGGGAUAUUGCACAAUGGGGGAAACCCUGAUGCAGCGACGCCGCGUGGAGGAAGAAGGUUUUCGGAUUGUAAACUCCUGUCGUUAGGGACGAUAAUGACGGUACCUAACAAGAAAGCACCGGCUAACUACGUG